AUUUAGUUGAGGUGCAUUAUUCUAGUUGAUUGAUUCUUUAGGAAGACGAGAGUAAAAAAUCGUUAAAGAGCAUAUCGAUGAAGCCUUUGGUGUUUGCUUCUUAUGCCCAAUUUGGGGUGGAUGCUGAAGUGAUGAGAUUUUGGGCGACCAUAAUGGCAUAUGAUCUCGACCCAACUUCUCUUUGAGACCUGUUUUUGUGUUUAGCCUAUACGUGUUUAACUGAUGGACUAGAUACGAUGCAGGGAGAGAACCUGUAUGUGGCGAAAGUUAUGUGCAGUGUAGCUUGUCUUGAGUGGUUACUGGGAAUUAAUGAUCCAACUUAUUUUAUGGCUCGCGACCUGAAAUAAGUAUUGCAUUAUGAAACUGUGACUGCAAAAAAGAAUUAAUAAAGAAUCGAUUAGUGGGGAAAUCUUCUAGAGUGUAAAUAUAAUAUAGGAUUGCAGUGGACACUAAGUGGUAAUCAAGACGUAUAACUAGUGAUAGUAUAUUAAUCUCCUUAAAUGGGAACGGCUAUUUUGGUAACGGAAUAGUGGAGAUUAGGGAAAGCCUUCUUGACCUAAGGUUCAAAGUUAACUAUAUUAAAACCAUACA
rnacentral:sRNA from 1 species